UUCCAGACUCCUACGGGAGGCAGCAGUGGGGAAUAUUGCACAGUGGGGGGAACCCUGAUGCAGCAAUGCCGCGUGGGUGAAGAAGCGCCUCGGCGCGUAAAGCCCUGUCAGCAGGGAAGAAAAUGACAGUACCUGACUAAGAAGCCCCGGCUAACUACGUGCCAGCAGCCGCGGUAAUACGUAGGGGGCAAGCGUUAUCCGGAUUUACUGGGUGUAAAGGGAGCGUAGACGGCUGCGCAAGUCAGAAGUGAAAGCCCGGGGCUCAACCGCGGGACUGCUUUUGAAACUGUGUAGCUAGAGUGCAGGAGAGGUAAGUGGAAUUCCUAGUGUAGCGGUGAAAUGCGUAGAUAUUAGGAGGAACACCGGUGGCGAAGGCGGCUUACUGGACUGUAACUGACGUUGAGGCUCGAAAGCGUGGGGAGCAAACAGGAUUAGAUACCCCUGUA
rnacentral:rRNA from 1 species